AUGUGGGGAGGCUCCCUUCGGAAGCAAAAGGUCCCAGCGAACAGCGAGGGCACAAAAGGGUCCCCCGCGCGGCGCUCCGCACCCGCUCUUGGUUCCCCGGGCGGUUCCCGGGGCGAGGGGUGGGGUAGAAAGUGUGAAAAGCCCCGCCGGCGCCGGAAAGCGCGUCCGGGGGCCUCUGCAAGGGCGCCCGGCCCUUCGGGACCUGCGAGCUCUGAGGGGCCCCGCGGGCCUCGCGGCGGACAGCGAAAGCGAGUCCCGAGGUCCGAGAGCGCCGCGACCCGCCCUGCCACCUGGGGGGCCCCGCCGGGAGGACUCGGGCCAAACCCGGAGAAGCGGCUGACCACCCCGCCCUGGUCGUCGUCCACGUCCGCUCGGCCCACGGGGCCCGGCGCUGGACGUGCCCGCCCCGGGCAUCCAGCCCCUUCCGUCCGCCCCCGCCCCGGGAAGUCCCCGGCCCUGAGCCCAGCCGCCGCCCGGGGAGGUGUGGGCGAGCGCGCUGGAAGGAAACCGCGGCGGCCCGGCCCCUGGACGUGUCCGGGAAGGAACGCGGACUUUCUCUCAUUCCACAAGUCUUCCUUGUGUACACCCAGGAAGCCAGGCUUCACCGAUGACAAAGGGAAGACCCCGCUUGCUCCCUUUGUUCAGCCUCACUCCAUUCCUCAGGAAGUGAUCCCACAGGGCAAGCUUUGCCCUAUUCCAGAUCAGAUCAGUCGCUCAGUCGUGUCUGACUCCUUGCAACCCCAUGAAUCGCAGCAGGCCAGGCCUCCCUGUCCAACACCAACUCCCGGAGUUCACUGA
rnacentral:lncRNA from 1 species